CCUACGGGUGGCAGCAGUGGGGAAUAUUGCACAAUGGGGGAAACCCUGAUGCAGCGACGCCGCGUGCGGGAAGAAGUACCUCGGUAUGUAAAGCUCUAUCAGCAGGGAAGAAAAUGACGUUACCUGAGUAAGAAGCCCCGUCUAACUACGUGCCAGCAGCCGCGGUAAUACGUAGGGGGCAAGCGUUAUCCGGAUUUACUGGGUGUAAAGGGAGCGUAGACGGCAGUGCAAGUCUGGAGUGAAAGGCGGGGGCUCAACCCCCGGACUGCACUGGAAACUGUACGGCUGGAGUGCAGGAGAGGUAAGUGGAAUUCCUAGUGUAGCGGUGAAAUGCGUAGAUAUUAGGAGGAACACCAGUGGCGAAGGCAGCUUACUGGACUGUAACUGACGUUGAGGCUCGAAAGCGUGGGGAGCGAACAGGAUUAGAUACCCCAGUAGUC
rnacentral:rRNA from 1 species